UGGGGAAUAUUGCACAAUGGGCGAAAGCCUGAUGCAGCAACGCCGCGUGAGUGAUGAAGGCCUUCGGGUUGUAAAGCUCUGUCUUUUGGGACGAUAAUGACGGUACCAAAGGAGGAAGCCACGGCUAACUACGUGCCAGCAGCCGCGGUAAUACGUAGGUGGCAAGCGUUGUCCGGAUUUACUGGGCGUAAAGGAUGCGUAGGCGGAUUUUUAAGUGGGAUGUGAAAACCCUAAGCUUAACUUGGGGGACUGCAUUUCAUACUGGAAAUCUAGAGUGCGGGAGAGGAGAAUGGAAUUCCUAGUGUAGCGGUGAAAUGCGUAGAGAUUAGGAAGAACACCAGUGGCGAAGGCGAUUCUCUGGACCGUAACUGACGCUGAGGCAUGAAAGCGUGGGUAGCAAACAGGAUUAGAUACCCUGGUAGUCCACGCCGUAAACGAUGAGUACUAGGUGUAGGAGGUAUCGACCCCUUCUGUGCCGCAGUUAACACAAUAAGUACUCCGCCUGGGAAGUACGAUCGCAAGAUUAAAAACUCAAAUGAAUUGACGGGGUCAUAGCUG
rnacentral:rRNA from 1 species